UCCUCCCUCAAACCCCUGGGUUUGGUGUUGGACUCUGUGGUGCCUGGCACCACUGGUCUCAAAGACAAUGACGGCGUCCGUGGGACCCUCGGUGCAACGAGCUUUUCGAAGCACGCGUCGAGUGGGUCUCUCCGGGCCGGUCACCUCUCCAAUUCUUCUCA
rnacentral:misc_RNA from 1 species